UACGUAGGGUGCGAGCGUUAAUCGGAAUUACUGGGCGUAAAGCGUGCGCAGGCGGUUGUGCAAGACAGAUGUGGAAAUCCCCGGGCUUAACCUGGGAAUUGCAUUUGUGACUGCACGGCUAGAGUGUGUCAGAGGGGGGUAGAAUUCCACGUGUAGCAGUGAAAUGCGUAGAUAUGUGGAGGAAUACCGAUGGCGAAGCAGGCCCC
rnacentral:rRNA from 1 species